AUUCUAAGGCUCUCUAUGUUGCCACACCAAUCCCCGGACCUCAGCUCCUCUGAAUGCCAGAGUGACAGACUUGCCAGGAAUCUGCUGGACUUACAUGUGCGGAGGUGUGACAAGAUAAAGAGCAGUUGCACAUUAUGCCCAAGAUGUUCUUCAGUGAAGAUGGACCAAAACUGCACAUGAACGCAGAGAGAAGGCUCGCUGGGAAUUCCAAAGAUGCCACCUCGAGAAAAAGGCCACGGUCCAUGAAAAACUCCCUUGGAGCUGGGUUGGCAUCAUCUGAAGGAGCAGUGGGACUUCUGAGGAGAGACUAGAGGGUCCACUCAAUCAGGGUAGAAGGCCCCGGGAGCUGGGUCCUCUCAGCAGAAGCACCUUACAGGGAUGAUCUGAGGGGGCCUCAGGGUUGCAUUCAGAACUGAAGAAGAAAGAGACUGAAAGCACCAAGGAGUGGGAGAAAUGGCCCCAGGGUGGACGGGCCUCCACUGUGGGCAGCAGGAAGGAAGCCAGGAGGCAUCCUGAGAGAGGACCAGAGACUACUUUCAAAUGUACAGAACCCUACCCUUCUGCCCCACUCUUAAUUUCCCCCAUCAUCCCAGAUGCAAAACAUCUUAUAAAAAUAUUAUAUAAAGCAUAUAAUAUAGUUAUAUAAUUUGUAGUUAUAUAAUAAGAAUAUAGUUAUGAACUAUUAAUUAAUAUAAUAAAAAACCUGUAGAUUAUAAUUCCCAACCUAUUUUACUGCACCCAUGUCAAUUUCAUUGCAACAUUCACAGAACUGAAAACUCGGGACUUAGUGGAUUAUCAUAAAGGAGACACCAACCCAGGAUAAACCAGGUCCAGGAUAAACGUGGUCCAGCCUGGGCAAGCCUGAGCCUGCCUUUAACAGGUUGUGACAACUACAAUUGGGGCAGGAGAUGGGGCAGGAGCUGAUGGGUGCCUUUGACACCACAAGUUUAGUUCAAAUUUUCAAUUUUAGAAACAGGAACUAUUUGAGAUCGUCUGUCUUUAGAAAUAUUUUCAAAUUCAAAAUAAUAAAUUUAAAAUCACUUGG